rnacentral:tRNA from 1 species
UCUGUUGUAGUCUAGUUGACCGGAUACUCGGCUCUCACCCGAGAGACCCGGGUUCAUGUCCCGGCAACGGAA